CUUGAAACUAUAUAAGAGGUCCCGCCUGCCCAGUGAACUUAUUCAACGGCCGCGGUAUCCUAACCGUGCGAAGGUAGCGUAAUCACUUGUUCUUUAAAUAAGGACUAGUAUGAAUGGCACCACGAGGGUUACACUGUCUCCUUUUUUAAAUCAGUUAAACUAAUCUUCCCGUGAAGAAGCGAGGAUAAUAUUAUAAGACGAGAAGACCCUAUGGAGCUUUAAACAAACAACACUUGCUGCAAACCCUUUUCUUUAUAAAGUUUAGCACUAUGAUUACAAAGUUUUCGAUUGGGGUGAUCACGGAGCAAAAAACAACCUCCACGUUGAAUAGGGCUUUAUACCCUGAGCAAUAAGCCACAACUUUAUGCACUAAAAAAUUAACAUGCAUUGACCCAUAAUUUUGAUCAACGAAC
rnacentral:rRNA from 1 species